rnacentral:rRNA from 1 species
GGAUUAGAUACCCUGGUAGUCCACGCCGUAAACGAUGUCUACUAGUCGUCGGGGAUCUUGCAUUUCUGGUGACGCAGCUAACGCGAUAAGUAGACCGCCUGGGGAGUACGGCCGCAAGGCUAAAACUCAAAGGAAUUGACGGGGGCUCACACAAGCGGUGGAGCAUGUGGCUUAAUUCGAAGCAACGCGAAGAACCUUAUCCUGGGUUUGACAUGCAUGGAUUAGCUUCCUGAAAGGGAAGUGACGCGGCUUGCCGUGGAACAUGCACAGGUGCUGCAUGGCUGUCGUCAGCUCGUGCCG